UACGUAGGGACCAAGCGUUGUUCGGAUUUACUGGGCGUAAAGGGCGCGUAGGCGGCGUGUUAAGUCAGCUGUGAAAUCUCCAAGCUUAACUUGGAACGGUCAGCUGAUACUGAUGUGCUAGAGUGCAGAAGGGGCAACCGGAAUUCUUGGUGUAGCGGUGAAAUUCGUAGAUAUUCGGAAGAACACCAGUGGCGAAGGCGGCUCACUGGACCGGCAUUGACGCUGAGGUGCGAAAGCGUGGGGAGCAAACAGG
rnacentral:rRNA from 1 species